UGCCAGACUCCUACGGGAGGCAGCAGUGAGGAAUAUUGGUCAAUGGGCGGAAGCCUGAACCAGCCAAGUCGCGUGAGGGAUUAAGGCCCUGCGGGUCGUAAACCUCUUUUGCCGGGGAGCAGUGGUCCGGACGCGUCCGGACCGGGAGAGUACCCGGAGAAAAAGCAUCGGCUAACUCCGUGCCAGCAGCCGCGGUAAUACGGAGGAUGCGAGCGUUAUCCGGAUUUAUUGGGUUUAAAGGGUGCGUAGGCGGGCUUUUAAGUCAGCGGUAAAAAUUCGGGGCUCAACCCCGUCCGGCCGUUGAAACUGGCGUUCUUGAGUGGGCGAGAAGUAUGCGGAAUGCGUGGUGUAGCGGUGAAAUGCAUAGAUAUCACGCAGAACUCCGAUUGCGAAGGCAGCAUACCGGCGCCCAACUGACGCUGAAGCACGAAAGCGUGGGUAUCGAACAGGAUUAGAUACCCGUGUA
rnacentral:rRNA from 1 species